rfam:Myotis brandtii contig232790, whole genome shotgun sequence.
AGGCCUGCAGAGAGAGAGGCAAGGUCUGAUCUGCAGCCUCUGAGGCAGCUGUUGAUCAGCUGUUGCCUCUCUCUUUCUCUCUG